GAUGAACGCUGGCGGCGUGCCUAAUACAUGCAAGUCGAGCGAAUGGAUUAAGAGCUUGCUCUUAUGAAGUUAGCGGCGGACGUGUGAGUAACACGUGGGUAACCUGCCCAUAAGACUGGGAUAACUCCGGGAAACCGGGGCUAAUACCGGAUAACAUUUUGAACCGCAUGGUUCGAAAUUGAAAGGCGGCUUCGGCUGUCACUUAUGGAUGGACCCGCGUCGCAUUAGCAAGUUGGUGAGGUAACGGCUCACCAAGGCAACGAUGCGUAGCCGACCUGAGAGGGUGAUCGGCCACACUGGGACUGAGACACGGCCCAGACUCCUACGGGAGGCAGCAGUAGGGAAUCUUCCGCAAUGGACGAAAGUCUGACGGAGCAACGCCGCGUGAGUGAUGAAGGCUUUCGGGUCGUAAAACUCUGUUGUUAGGGAAGAACAAGUGCUAGUUGAAUAAGCUGGCACCUUGACGGUACCUGCAGAAAAAGCACCGGCUAACUACGUGCCAGCAGCCGCCGUAA
rnacentral:rRNA from 1 species